rnacentral:rRNA from 1 species
UGGGGAAUAUUGCACAAUGGGCGCAAGCCUGAUGCAGCCAUGCCGCGUGUGUGAAGAAGGCCUUCGGGUUGUAAAGCACUUUCAGCGAGGAGGAAGGUGGUGAGCUUAAUACGCUCAUCAAUUGACGUUACUCGCAGAAGAAGCACCGGCUAACUCCGUGCCAGCAGCCGCGGUAAUACGGAGGGUGCAAGCGUUAAUCGGAAUUACUGGGCGUAAAGCGCACGCAGGCGGUUUGUUAAGUCAGAUGUGAAAUCCCCGGGCUCAACCUGGGAACUGCAUUUGAAACUGGCAAGCUAGAGUCUCGUAGAGGGGGGUAGAAUUCCAGGUGUAGCGGUGAAAUGCGUAGAGAUCUGGAGGAAUACCGGUGGCGAAGGCGGCCCCCUGGACGAAGACUGACGCUCAGGUGCGAAAGCGUGGGGCAGCAAACAGGAUUAGAUACCCUGGUAGUCCAGCGCUGUAAACGAUGUCGAUUUGGAGGUUGUGCCCUUGAGGCGUGGCUUCCGGAGCUAACGCGUUAAA